AACGAACGCUGGCGGCAUGCCUAACACAUGCAAGUCGAACGAGAUCUUCGGGUCUAGUGGCGCACGGGUGCGUAACGCGUGGGAAUCUGCCCUUUGGUUCGGAAUAACAGUUGGAAACGACCGCUAAUACCGGAUGAUGACGAAAGUCCAAAGAUUUAUCGCCAGAGGAUGAGCCCGCGUAGGAUUAGCUAGUUGGUGUGGUAAAGGCGCACCAAGGCGACGAUCCCUAGCUGGUCUGAGAGGAUGAUCAGCCACACUGGGACUGAGACACGGCCCAGACUCCUACGGGAGGCAGCAGUGGGGAAUAUUGGACAAUGGGCGAAAGCCUGAUCCAGCAAUGCCGCGUGAGUGAUGAAGGCCUUAGGGUUGUAAAGCUCUUUUACCCGGGAUGAUAAUGACAGUACCGGGAGAAUAAGCUCCGGCUAACUCCGUGCCAGCCGCCGCAGUAA
rnacentral:rRNA from 1 species